AUUGAACGCUGGCGGCAUGCUUUACACAUGCAAGUCGAACGGCAGCGCGGGCUUCGGCCUGGCGGCGAGUGGCGAACGGGUGAGUAAUGCAUCGGAACGUGCCCAGUAGUGGGGGAUAGCCCGGCGAAAGCCGGAUUAAUACCGCAUACGACCUGAGGGUGAAAGCGGGGGACCGAAAGGCCUCGCGCUAUUGGAGCGGCCGAUGUCGGAUUAGCUAGUUGGUGGGGUAAAGGCUUACCAAGGCUACGAUCCGUAGCUGGUCUGAGAGGACGACCAGCCACACUGGGACUGAGACACGGCCCAGACUCCUACGGGAGGCAGCAGUGGGGAAUUUUGGACAAUGGGGGCAACCCUGAUCCAGCCAUGCCGCGUGCGGGAAGAAGGCCUUCGGGUUGUAAACCGCUUUUGUUCGGGAAGAAAUCCUCUGGGCUAAUACCCCGGGGGGAUGACGGUACCGGAAGAAUAAGCACCGGCUAACUACGUG
rnacentral:rRNA from 1 species